UACGAAGGGGGCUAGCGUUGCUCGGAAUCACUGGGCGUAAAGCGCACGUAGGCGGCUUUCUAAGUCAGAGGUGAAAUCCCGGAGCUCAACUCCGGAACUGCCUUUGAUACUGGAAAGCUUGAGUUCGGGAGAGGUGAGUGGAACUGCGAGUGUAGAGGUGAAAUUCGUAGAUAUUGGGAAGAACACCGAUGGCGAAGGCAGCCAUCUGGACCGACACUGACGCUGAGGCGCGAAAGCGUGGGGAGCAAACAGG
rnacentral:rRNA from 1 species